UUAGAUUUUAUUUAUUUGUAUUUUUUGUUAUUUAUUUUGUUUAUUAAAAGUAAUUAUAAAAGUUAGUGUUUUAGUAUUUUAUAAAGAAAAGAUAAUUUUUAUUAUAGUUGAUUAGUAAGGUGACUGAAUAUUGAAAUAUUUUGAAAAAUUUUUAUUUUAGAAGUAGAUUUGUUUUAUUGUACCUUGUGUAUCAGGGUUUAUCAAAUAAAUAAUAUUUAUUUAAUAUUUUUCUCGAAUUUGGAAGAGUUAAUAAAUUAUGUUAGUUAAUGUGGAAUAAUUAUUAAUCAUAAUUUAUUAGAAAUGAAAUGUUAAGCGUUUUCAAGGAUAUCUAGUUUUCUUAGAAAUGAAUUUAAUUCAGUAUUUUUGAUUAAAUUAUAUAAUUUGUUAUGUGAUUUUUAUUAAAAAUAUAAUAUUUUGUGGGAUAAGCUACAAUAUAUAAUUUUAAAAAUGAAUUAUUUUUUAAUGAAAUAUAUGCUUAGAAAUAGCAAUUAUUUUUGUGUUUGUUAUAAUUUAUUAAUUUAUUUAUAUUAUUUAUUAAUUUUUAAGUUUUUAUAAGAUUAUGUGUUUUAACUAAUAAAAUAUAUAAAUAAUGAUAGAAUUAGUAUAUUAAUUUGUGGUGAUUUUAUUGUUUUUGAGGUUUUUAUAAAGAAUUCGACAAAUAUUAUUUCUGCCUGUUUAUCAAAAACAUGUCCUUUUGAAUUAAAUUUAAGGUCUGAUCUGCCCACUGAGGUAAUUUAAAUGGCCGCAGUAUUUUAACUGUGCAAAGGUAGCAUAAUCAUUAGUCUUUUAAUUAAGGGCUUGUAUGAAGGAUUUGACGAGACAUAGAUUGUUUCAUAAAUAUUUGUAGAAUUUAAUUUUUUAGUUAAAAAGCUAAAAUUUUACUAAAAGACGAGAAGACCCUAUAGAUCUUUAUAAUUAAUGAAUUUUAUCAAUAAGGUAUAAUUUAGAUAUAAUUUAUUAUAUUAUUUUAUUGGGGUGAUAGUAAGAUUAAAUUAACUCUUAUAUAUUGUUAUUCAUAAAUUAAUGAUUAAUUGAUCCAAUAUUAUUGAUUAUUAUAAUAAGUUACCUUAGGGAUAACAGCGUAAUUUUUUUGGAGAGUUCAUAUCGAUAAAAAGGAUUGCGACCUCGAUGUUGGAUUAAGAAAUAGUCUUGGGCGUAGCCGUUUAAGUUUAAAGUCUGUUCGACUUUUAAAUUCUUACAUGAUCUGAGUUCAAACCGGCGUGAGCCAGGUUGGUUUCUAUCUUUAGUAAUAUAAAAUAUUUUAGUACGAAAGGGCCAAAUAUUUGAAAUUAUUUUUUUUAAUUGAAUACUAUUAAUU
rnacentral:rRNA from 1 species